GAUGAACGCUGGCGGCGUGCCUAAUACAUGCAAGUCGAGCGAACGUACGAGAAGCUUGCUUCUCUGAUGUUAGCGGCGGACGGGUGAGUAACACGUGGAUAACCUACCUAUAAGACUGGGAUAACUUCGGGAAACCGGAGCUAAUACCGGAUGAUAUUUUGAACCGCAUGGUUCAAAAGUGAAAGACGGUCUUGCUGUCACUUAUAGAUGGAUCCGCGCUGCAUUAGCUAGUUGGUAAGGUAACGGCUUACCAAGGCAACGAUGCAUAGCCGACCUGAGAGGGUGAUCGGCCACACUGGAACUGAGACACGGUCCAGACUCCUACGGGAGGCAGCAGUAGGGAAUCUUCCGCAAUGGGCGAAAGCCUGACGGAGCAACGCCGCGUGAGUGAUGAAGGUCUUCGGAUCGUAAAACUCUGUUAUUAGGGAAGAACAUAUGUGUAAGUAACUGUGCACAUCUUGACGGUACCUAAUCAGAAAGCCACGGCUAACUACGUG
rnacentral:rRNA from 1 species